rnacentral:rRNA from 2 species
AAGUCGAACGAGUUCUGGUUAAGAGUGGCGGUGCUUGCACCAAAGCAAUUAACAAUGGAACGAGUGGCGGACGGGUGAGUAACACGUGGGUAACCUACCCUAUAGCGGGGGAUAACAUUUGGAAACAGAUGCUAAUACCGCAUAACAACAACUAUCACAUGAUAGAUGUUUGAAAGAUGGCGAAAGCUAUCACUAAAGGAUGGACCUGCGGCGUAUUAGUUAGUUGGUAAGGUAACGGCUUACCAAGACGAUGAUACGUAGCCGACUUGAGAGAGUGAUCGGCCACAUUGGGACUGAGACACGGCCCAAACUCCUACGGGAGGCAGCAGUAGGGAAUCUUCCACAAUGGACGAAAGUCUGAUGGAGCAACGCCGCGUGAGUGAAGAAGGGUUUCGGCUCGUAAAACUCUGUUAUUGGAGAAGAAGGAUAAGGUAAGUAACUGUACUUUAUUUGACGGUAACCAACCAGAAAGUCACGGCUAACUACGUGCCAGCAGCCGCGGUAAUACGUAGGUGGCAAGCGUUAUCCGGAAUUAUUGGGCGUAAAGCGAGUGCAGGCGGUUGUAUAAGUCUGAUGUGAAAGCCCUCGGCUCAACCGAGGAAUUGCAUCAGAAACUGUAUAACUUGAGUGCAGAAGAGGAGAGUGGAACUCCAUGUGUAGCGGUGGAAUGCGUAGAUAUAUGGAAGAA